AAUGAGCACUACCGUGAGGCCGAGGAUUACGUCUCCACGUUUCUAGUUUGAAGUUGUGUGGAUAGUGGGGCCAUACGCUGAUCUAGAAAACUUAGAGAAAGGAGAGUCUGGAGAAAGUUGUGUGUAUAUACAGUAAAAUUCUGCAACCUGCUGCUAGCUCUGCUGCUCUCCUGAGGUGCUACUGAAAUGAAGGCAGAGGGCUGGCAAAAGCACAGCAGUGCAAAAGCCACAAGCAGGGAUGAAAGACACUGCCGCAAGUUCACCUUGUGACUGGAUACCUUGGUCUCCUCUUCCAUGCAAGGAGAGUCUUACAGAACAAGCUUGUAUAGAAGCUGCCACAAUUGCACGGGCAGCCUUGCAGGUAAAGAAUAGAAGAUCGAGGAAGGCUUAGUGUAAAAGGGCACAUUCCACUUGUCCCAUGGUCCAGGCCAGAUCUCCUAAUUUCACAUCGGUGGAGCCUGAAAAUCAACGUGCAAGAUGUCAAGAACAAGGAGGACAUUGUUCUGUCCAAAGCGGACAAUUUGUGACGGGGCUCAAAAAGCUGUCUGGGCUUUGUAGCUUUUCCAAUGGUUCCUAAUAAACCAGGCUUUGUGCAAGCCUCACU